UUGUAAUCUGUCUAUCUCAGGUUUCUGUUAGGGAAGAAUGCAUUUAAAUGCAUGGAUAAAAUUUCAUUACUAAAACAACUUUCUGAAGUUUGGCCUGGGACUGUGCAAUGUAUUUUUGGAAUAACCAAGAAUAUCACCAACACACCACUGAACCUACCUUUUGCUCUAGACACAAGAAAAAUAUUUUUAAUGUUUUUGUCUUUCACAUAGAUUGGUUGUAUUUCAACAAGAAAUGUUAGGAAAGCAAAUUGAAAAUUGGUUAUUCCAGAAAGGAAAGUGAAUAAUUACAAGAAGAAAGUUAAUAAACAACUAAAUUAUGGCUGUAAACCUCUAUGAUGAGCUUCAUAUCAAAUAACACUACCACGUUGUGUUUUUAAAAAUAUGUUCUGCAGUGUUUCAGGGAAAAUUGCAAAAUACCUUAAUACCACCUUAACCCCGUUGAUUAGAGUCUUUAACUACCAACCAAAAAUUAAUUUGUAUUCUUUUCCAGGUCUAGGAUAGACUCAAAUGGGAAUACCAUGUUAUUUGUGCUUCAAAAGCUCUCUAUUGCAGAAGUCUGAACAGACUACAAGAGUCUACAAAGGGCUUCUCCUCAGUGCUUCCUCUCCCUUUCUCCACUAGUUAUCCCUUUGGUCACUCUUCAUCAGAGUUCAGUCAUUGCAGAGAUAGGAAAAAGGAAGAUGAUAUUGGCAUUAGUCAGUGAUUUAAAGAAAUACAGUCACAGGAAGUAGAUGCCUGUAUUCCACAAAGAGCUGCCCACAUCCUUAAUUCUUCAGCCUCACAUGGGAAACUGUUUCACCUGUGUGGAGCCGCUUGAACACAUUGGCGCAUGUGAAGAAAAAGAAAUCGAUGGUCUGGAAAACAUUUUCUCUGCUGGAAAAUGUGUAAUAAGAUGCUGCCAAUGGCUCAGCUGCGUAAGCACUGGGAGCACAGUCAUGAACGUCUGCUGAAAGCACACAAACCUUUUUUGUGCUCGUUGCUUGGCACCCGUGCAGCUGAGCUGCUGCAGAAAUCUGGGUAUGAGAUGUCAGAGGAGAGAACAGAACUGAUCUACUUGGUGCUAUGAAUGCAACCUUUGCCUCCUGAUUAUAAGUCUUUGGGUUACUAUUAGGUUUGGAUUCCUUCUGUCCACUAAAAACCCAACAAACUAGGAUUUUAGUGAAAAUUUCAUUAUGAGGGAAAUUUCACCUCUAUAAACAUGGUCUUGUGCGUUUAGUGUAAACCAGAGCUGAACAGGCAAACCCUGAGCCACAGAUCAAAAAUAUGAUUUUUGUGGAUGUUUCUUCAUUUACUCCUGUUUUUUUGGGACUGAGGCUCCUUAUAUGCUUAACUACUAGGAAGGUAUAGCUGAGAAUCUUGAAUUAAGAAAUUGCUUUGUCCCCUAUCCCAACUGAGGGAGCUCUGAACAGUGGUGACUGAAGUGAAAUGUGACCAGACAGUUUGGGAAUUGGAGAAUAUGUAAACUAAACAUGUCAUAAUGACAUCUGGACAUUCCUUCCAGCAAAGUUAUGCUACAGAUGAGCCCAGCUAUACUGGUAGAUAGGUGAUUCCUGCCACUGAGGAUAUAUGGAAGCCACAGGAUUUUUCCAGGUGGAAAUCCUCCAAGCUCAUCCAUAACUCUCUCACAAAAUAUUUUUAUACAAACAUUGAGUAUGAUAUACUGUAUACAUUUAAAUAUGUAUCUUCUUAUAGGCUAAUCGGGCCUGAUCUAUUUCUCAACAUCCCUGGGUUCACUAGGAAAUGUUUUCCUGCAUUUCCUUGAAGACUUGAUUGUUGUUGCCUUAAUGACAUCGUCAUAGACGGAGAAGAAACACGUUCAUUUUACGUGUAGGAAAUUGAAUUUUUAGCUAGAUUUACCCAUAUUCGUUUCAUGUUGGGUAGACCUCCCAUUUUUCUCACGAGUUUGAUCUUUGGAAGCUAGUAAAAAGGAAAAAAUUGUAAAAAACUUACCUAUUGGUUACCUCACAGCUAUGAUAUCGAGUAGUGUAUAACAUUAAUUGCUUUGGAGGCAAGAGUAUUUAAUUUUCUUUUUUUUUUUCUGUUUGCCAGAAUCUUCAGACCUAAGAGUUAUAGCGUAACAUCACAUUGUUUAGUGCUCUGAGAUCAAAUUGCUUUCCUGCUAUUGUGAUGGCAAUAAGCAGUUUCUUGUAAUUGCAUAUAUGUCAUGUGGAAUCACGAGUUUUUCUUUUUGGAGUGAGAAUAUAACUUUUCAGGAUUGACUAAUUAAAAGGAAAAAGUAAGAUAACCUAGGUGGGACUGAGAUGUCCUCGACUUGCCUGGAAAGGCUUUUGUGUUAAGUUUCUGUAUCAGGAAUCAGCCUGUAGAUGUCCCCCAACACACAUUGUGCUACAUCCAGUGUUUCUGUUGAAAGCAGCUAUCACAUUUAUAAAUUACGAACAACCCAAGUUAAAGAGAGACAGAGAGAUGAAAAGCUGCUCAGGAAUGACUAUUCUGUGGGAGGACAGCUAAGUUAAUGACAGAUUUUAGAACAUCUCAGACCAAUGGAAAUAAGAGCUAAACAAGAGCUGAUAAAAAGAAAUAGAAAUGAGUCUUAUAGAAGACUGAAGAUGUCAGAAAAAUGGAGCCAAAAACGACACACUUCACUGUGACUCUAGAUAUGGAAAUCAUAAAUUUUCCUCUGGCUUAAUGAGCCAGAGCUGACCUUAGCACUGUAAAUACAUGAUGAAAUGAAUCCAUAAAGUGACAGGUUUGUCUUUGACAAAACCAGCGGGAUAGGGAGAGAAAAUACAGCUCACUCCACAAUCAUCCUGAUGAAAUGAUAAAUUUUGUUGGCCUUUACCUAUGUUUAGCUGAUGUAAUUAACUGCUGAAUAGUGCCUGCAUCAGUAGUGGACCUGGCCCUGCCUCCAUAACCUACAGUAGAGCUGGAUGAAUCCUGCAUAUGGUUUGUAACAAUGGGUGGAAUCCUCAGGAGUUGUUUGUUUCACCAAUUUGCAGCCUGUUGUCUUCAAUAAACCAUUGAUUUCUUCUCACAGAAGAUUUUGAUAAAUGGUUUCUACUUGUAUCAAUACCCAUCUUCACAUGCAGCCAAACACAUUUAUCAAAGAAUAUCCAUUUCUCACGAUUUAUUAUUUCCUUUGCUGUCAUUUUGGUCAUUAAUCUUCCAUUUUCAAAACUAUCCAGGGAGGACCUGAAAGAAUACAGAGUAAUUUUCCCUCAGCACAAGUAAUGAAGAAUCAAAGCAAACACUGAGGGACUUUUAGCUGGGAAAUUUCACAGCAUUUAGAUUCUACCCUCCUGCUGUUCUGACAUAGAUCACAGCACAGUGGGUAAUGGAAAGUCAGUAGCAUCCAACUUGCAGAUUUCAGGUCUACCUGUGUCCCCAAGGACAGCUCUAUAUCCAGGCCUUAAAGUCUCCAGCAGUGGACUCUCCCAAGCCUCCCUCCAGGCAAGUUAUUCUGAUAUUUGAUUAUUUCAUUUUUUGAGUAACUUCCUUAAUCUUCUUUCCUUCAUCUUCUUUUUCUUUUUUUUUUUUGUGGGCAUAGCUAAUAGCAACAUCUACAAUGAAAUAAUUAUUUCUCUUGUGUCAAGGAUCUGCGUACUGGAAGACUACUGUGUUCCACUCUCUCUCUUCCAUCCUCCUCUUCCUUAAGCUUCACAACCUUAUUUCUUUCACCCCUUCCUCAGAGAAGACUUUCAAGACGUUGCCACUUCCUUCCAGAGUCUCUCCAGGUGUUAAACAUUUUUCAGGAAGGAACAGUGUGGUAUUGUCAUGUGAUGUUUAUCUUGCUGUUCACCAAAACACACACAAUUGCUUUGGUAGAACUGUUAGAUAAAAUUUUGGUCUGUUUUCCCCAUUAUUUCUGCCUAAAUUGAAAUGUGAUGACAAAUCACAAUUACCUAUAUGCUAAAUACAAUUUUCAAUAUUUUCAAUUUUCAAUACAAAGUGAUAUAUAUACAAUUUUCAAUAUAAAGUACACCUUUAAGUACUUUGUUCCUACAUAAACUCUGAGAUUGUUGAAUCAAUGUCAUUUUUCUGCGCAAUGGUGGAAAAAAAUCCUUAGAGAUAAAGAAAAUAAGUAAACGCGAGUAUAAAGGUUUGACUCGAUGAUGGUCUUCUUCAACCUUAAUGUUUCUAUGAUUCUUUAUUUCAGUAGGAUUUUGAACACUGUAAGGGAGGAAUCUUAGCUGACUGUUACUCAUCUGCUACUAAUCAGAAUGACUUUCCCAAAGUCACACAGCAAGCAUUUUGAUGUAACUAAUGCAGUACAGAAAUGGAGAUUUCAUUCUGACCAACAGGGAAGAAUAACGAAGUCUUGGAAUAACUAAAAUACUCGCCCAAGAAAUAUUUAAAAUGUGAUACAGUAAAGUACUUCUAAAAAUCAAUUUUUCAUGGACAAACUAUGGUAAGUUUUCUUCUUCUAUACUACUUAAUGUAUAAAAGACGUAUUUUACAAAUUAAUUUCUAGUAGUUUUUAAAGGAACUUACAAAAAGAAAAAGUUGACUGAAAGAAGUGUGUAUCAGACCAUAUAUCUGUAACACAGUUCUACAGUAAGCAGUUUUUCAUUCCAUGGAUGAUCUAUGGUGAAUAAAUUUCUGCAACUAUAUUGCUUCUGGCCAGUAAGAGGAUGUGUAAUUGAGCUCUUCCACUUGUAGAGUGAGCCCCAGUCUAAAGGAAUGUAAAAAAUUGCAUCUGAGCUUUCAAGAAACAAGUUGCACACAGGGGACUUGCUAUGAAGGAGCUGUUGAAAUGUAAGGUGCUAAGACUUCUAUAACAAGUGGUGAUGUAUUUUGCUUUGUUUUCUGACACAAACCUGCAGACAAAUUGUAGGGGGCAGGAAAGAGACAACUUGAACUGCUGACUGCUUCAGUGAGACAGAUCGUACGAGGAGCAUCUCAUAUUUCAUCAAACCUCCAGCGGUCAAAUAGAGAGACUGAGUAAAGGUGAGGAGAAGUUGACCUCCGUACUGGAAAUUUUCUUUCCACAGUUGUGUCAGGACAUGAAGAAGCUAAUUUCUUUCUCUGACCCCAGCCAUACACAGAAAUAACAGAUGUCUCAAUAUGCUGAGAUCAGACAUUAAGGGGCAUCGGGGAGGACAGAUGUUGCAUCAACAGAGCUUUCCUUCUUCUGAAUUAAUCUGAAGUAAAGGGUUGUUUUCUGACCUUUUUCUUCCUAAUUUAAUCAAAUUAUAUUGUACUAGUUCUCCUGAUAUCAAGUCUAAUUAUUUGCAUUUAUUUAGGGACUAAUCCAGAAAAAAACAGAUUUAGCUUUAAAUGUAGACAUAUUUUUCCAUAGGAAAUUUCUCUGAGGAAACAUCAUGUAAUUUAAUCAGAAAAUGAGCCUCUCUCUGUAGAAUAAAGUGGGGCCACAUAAACUCCUUUAGAUAGAUGCGCUUAAAUGACAUAUUUAAAAACAUGUAGAAUUAAUAUGGAAUCAAAAUAUGGUAUUAAUUUUGAUAGAGUAAAUGGACCCAAGGAUCAUUAAGGUGUUAACCUGAUCAAGUCAUUGUAAAGCAGUCACAAGUAGCUCAAAUAUUUGAGUACAGAGACCCUGGAUCACCAUAGCUAAUUUCCAUAACUAAUACACACACACACACACAGAGUUUAGAUUAGGAGGUAAAAACACAACCAACCAAAACCAAACAUGCGGGGUUUUGAAGCUGAAAGGUUAGGAAACAGUCUGAUUGUGCAAAGUUCAUCUAUUUGGGACUUUCCUGAGUCUUUUUUCGUGAGAGAUACUGGUCAGGGCCUCUUAAUCUGGAUUAAUCUUGAUUAUUAGUAGAGAAGAGUAAACUGUUUCUGCUGAAAUUUUAGUCUUUUGCUCUCUUUGAUAAAAAGUACAGAGAAGAGGAGGGAGGAGAGGUUUGGUAGUAGGAGGUGAGGUAGUUGGAGUUUACUCCCAGUCCUGGGAUCCAAAGCAGCUGUUUAUUUGUCGUGGAUGGUCAGAGCCACUGGGACAACCUCAGCUGUUAGAUUGGCACAUCUGUCUCAGUCUCACAGCUGAGGCUGCAACCUGGCAUGUCCAGCUGGGGUCCCACUGCCUCUCAUGGAAUGAGCUUCUGGGGCUGCUCUAUAGAGCGAGUGCAGAGUCAUGGAAGCAAAAUAAAAAUGAGGGAGAGAAAAAGGCGGGGAUGGGAGGGACGGUAGUAUGUGGUAUAGUUUGUUGUAAAGAGGAUUGGAAGGAAGAUAGUGCCAAUGCAGUGGCAUGUUGUUGGAGAGGAGACUGGAGCACAAUCCCCAGUCUCUCUUGAGGUGGGUGUUUCUGAGGUGCUGUGGUCCCACACAUGGUUGUGUGUUGAUCAAGAAUAUUGCUGUCUGCCAUUUCUGGGGACAGACUAGCUGUGCACACUCUCUGCAUGACUUAGAUAGGACACUAACAUUCUGAGUGUAGUAUGAAACAUUUUGAUCAACUGGUAAAUUCAGAAGCAGGACCAAGGGCUUUUUUCAGAAAAAUAUAGUUCUCUUACCUUGAGUGGGUUUUGCCCUUAAAAUCUGCCUCAAGGUAUGAGUUGAAUAAAUACUUUUCAAAAUCAUAGUUGAGAAUAGUAUUAAUUAAUUGAGAAGUAGUAAUUAAUGUUGGAAAGUCUGUUACCUGCAUGUUCUACUGCUCUAUGAAGAUUCAGAUGCAUAAAAGCUCAAUUACACCCAAAGAACGUGUUGAGUCCUUGCUGAGCAGGAGGAUGUAGUUCACAUUUCACAUCCCAGAUCUGAUUGUUUUGUUACCAGGUUUGGCUUUGUUCUCACUCAGCUCCAGGAUGAGAUCUGUGUGCUUGUUGUCUUCCUAUGUACAUAGGUUUCCUUUCAAAAACAGCCUGGGGUUGUGGACAGGGAGGAAUCUGUGGUAUGCUCUGAUAUCUUCCCAGACAGAGCGUUCCAAGGACCAGGGGUGUGGGUGCACCCAUUCUGCAUCCUCGCCAUAGCCAGAGUCUCUGCAUGGAGAGCAGCACCGAUAUCACUAUGAAGAGAAGAUCUUGGCAGCAUCUCCAGGGAUGUCAAAAGUGGGGUUUCUAUAGUGCUAUAGGAGGUAUCCAUAAAAAAGAGACAAGAACUCAACAACCUGUGAUUGUACAAGACCCCCUUUAUCUCCAUUUUUCCCAAUGGUGAUCUAAGAAAACAUUAUAAUAAUUAAUUUAAAUGGCAUUAUUCAUUAUAAUAAAAUUAUACAACUUUGCUGUCUGCUUUCUAUAAACAUUACUCUAGAGAUUCUGAGGGGAGGCUGAAAUGUAAACAGUACUUUUUUACAUAAACAUUCACUAAGAGUCUUGCUCUUUCUUCCUAGAGACUCCACACCAGCACUUGAUUGCAAACUUAAAUUAAAUUGUUUGAAGACUGGGUUUAACAUUUUUCAGUACAGAUAAACAAUAUAUUUCAAAGUAAACACUGUUAUAUGACAUGUGCAACCUUAGAAAUAUACCAUUUUAAUUAUUACUGAUGACAUUGCUUGUUUAUCCUUGGUAUAACAUCAUUAAUUGAAGUGAAAUUACCUUUGAUUUUGCAGAUGUAAAUGGGCAAAUUUAAAUUCUUACUUUCUAAUAUGUAAACAACUAAAUUUCAUGUGUCUCUUAUGAACACAGGAGGUGUUAUUGAACAAACUGAAAACUUUGCUUAUGUGCAAAGUGAGAAGGUAGUUUGGGUCGGUCUCUCUCUGAAAUGAUUCAUUCUCUCACACAAGAAAUCUCUCUCAGUUUAGUUGUUGCCUUAAUCUGAGCUACGGUUCUUCUGACCAAGAAGAUACUUGUGUAGUCUUCACAUCCUGGAGUGUGCAGCACUCUAAUGAUGUAAAUUACUCACACUGCUAUGUCUGGAAGAAAUGGUAUCAACCACAUACCAUGUCUUGGGCCUCUCUCCUCCUGCUCCUCUCUCCUAAAGUGGUUUUUCAUGACAAGUGUUGCAAAACAGAAGCCAGUGGGAAACGUGCUGCUGAGCAAAGUAACUCUGUGAAGCAGAAAGUUAGAACCAGAGAACAAAAGGUUAGUUUUCUUGUAGAAAAGAUAACAGCUUGAAAGUGUCUCCCUCUUCUCUCCCCACGUUAGAAAAGGGUGCACUAGUGAGGUUAGGUCAGCACACACAUGUUUUAAAUUAGUGGUUUAUAAACAAGGAAGUGACAAUUAUUCGUUAUGAUUGUUUGUCAAAUAAUCACAUCUGUACCUAAUUACCAUGUAUGUGACAGUGUUUGCAUUUCUCAGUAAGCUGAAUUCAGUGAGAAUAGCUUAGAUGUUAAAUUGUGAGCCCACAUUUAAUGGAUACAAAUAUUUUAACACAGUAUACAUUGUGUUAAAAGUUAUAAAUAAAAGUGCCAUAUAGCUCUAAUCAGUUUCACUCCUUAUCUUUCACUUGCAAAGUUUACGAAACACAGCAAUAAACCUUAACGUACUCUC